UACGUAGGGGGGCAAGCGUUGUCCGGAAUCAUUGGGCGUAAAGCGCGUGUAGGCGGCUGGCUAAGUCCGCUCUGAAAGCCCGGGGCUCAACCCCGGGAGGCGGGUGGAUACUGGUCAGCUCGAGUCCGGAAGAGGAGUGUGGAAUUCCUGGUGUAGCGGUGAAAUGCGCAGAUAUCAGGAGGAACACCAAUGGCGAAGGCAGCACUCUGGGACGGUACUGACGCUGAGACGCGAAAGCGUGGGGAGCGAAUGGG
rnacentral:rRNA from 1 species